UACGUAGGGUGCGAGCGUUGUCCGGAAUUAUUGGGCGUAAAGAGCUUGUAGGCGGUUUGUCGCGUCUGCCGUGAAAAUCCGAGGCUCAACCUCGGACUUGCGGUGGUGACGGGCAGACUAGAGUGUGGUAGGGGAGACUGGAAUUCCUGGUGUAGCGGUGAAAUGCGCAGAUAUCAGGAGGAACACCGAUGGCGAAGGCAGGUCUCUGGGCCACUACUGACGCUGAGGAGCGAAAGCAUGGGGAGCGAACAGG
rnacentral:rRNA from 1 species